rnacentral:rRNA from 1 species
AUCCACACCACUUUGAAUGUGCCUGAUCUCGUGUAAUCUUGGAAGCUAAGCAGGGCUGGCCUGAUUGGUACUUGAAUGGGAGAAAAGCAACUGAUC